rnacentral:ncRNA from 3 species
UACGGAGGGUGCAAGCGUUGUCCGGAUUUAUUGGGUUUAAAGGGUGCGUAGGUGGCUUGUUAAGUCAGUGGUGAAAGACAGCCGCUCAACGGUUGAGGUGCCAUUGAUACUGACAGGCUUGAAGCAGACAGAGGCUGCCGGAAUGGAUGGUGUAGCGGUGAAAUGCAUAGAUAUCAUCCAGAACACCGAUUGCGAAGGCAGGUGGCUAUGUCUGACUUGACACUGAGGCACGAAAGCAUGGGGAGCAAACAGG